rnacentral:rRNA from 1 species
UACGAAGGGGGCUAGCGUUGUUCGGAAUCACUGGGCGUAAAGCGCACGUAGGCGGAUUGUUAAGUCGGGGGUGAAAUCCUGAGGCUCAACCUCAGAACUGCCUCCGAUACUGGCAAUCUCGAGUUCGGAAGAGGUUGGUGGAACAGCUAGUGUAGAGGUGAAAUUCGUAGAUAUUAGCUAGAACACCAGUGGCGAAGGCGGCCAACUGGUCCGAUACUGACGCUGAGGUGCGAAAGCGUGGGGAGCGAACAGG